UACGAAGGGGACUAGCGUUGUUCGGAAUCACUGGGCGUAAAGCGCACGUAGGCGGAUGUGUCAGUCAGGGGUGAAAUCCCGGGGGCUCAACCUCGGAACUGCCUUUGAUACAGCACGUCUCGAGUCCGGAAGAGGUGGGUGGAAUUCCUAGUGUAGAGGUGAAAUUCGUAGAUAUUAGGAAGAACACCGUGGCGAAGGCGGCCCACUGGUCCGGUACUGACGCUGAGGUGCGAAAGCGUGGGGAGCAAACAGG
rnacentral:rRNA from 1 species